rnacentral:sRNA from 1 species
CCAAACUGAUGAUUUGAAGAAAUUGGGAGUUUUGUGAAGAAAAUGACUUUAUCAACUAAGCAAUGAAUGAUUGUUGAAAAUUGCCCUAAUCUAUAAGAAUUUUAUCAGUGUGUGUGUGUGUGUGUGUGUUUAUGUAUGCUUAAUCCAGGGGUGAUGUACUCCUGAGUUACAAUCCCAGAGGCCACCUCUCUACCACUUUCAUUUUUAUUUUGA